GAGGUCAUAAUCUUUUUCUUCUAUAAGAACUUUAAGAAAAAAUUGUGCUGUUAUCCCUACGGUAACUUAAUUGAUUCUCAGAUUGAGGAUGGAGAAAGACGGAAGAAAAAGAUUUAAUUUUUUACCGCCCCAGUUCAACAAAAGUAAAGUUCGAUAGGGUCUUGUCGUCCUUCUUUGUCAUACAAGUCUUUUUACUUGAUAGAAAAGUUAAAAUAAUUCGGGUAAUAAAGAAAUUUAUAUGUCAAACCUUUCAUACUAGCCUUCAAUUGAAAGGCAAAUGAUUACGCUACCUUAGCACAAGAAAAUUGCGGCUAUUGAAAAAAUCAUUGAGCAGGCCCUACUGAAUAUAAAGUCAUUCAGAAAUGUUUUUGAUAAACAGACAAUAAAUAUAUAGGCCGAGUUCAUGAACCUGAAUGUAAAUUUUUAAAAAGGAAUGUGUUAAUAAAAAAAAGUUAGAUAAAUUUUACUAAUAAAAUCAUUGUAAAGAUUUUUAGGAAGGCCUCUUUUAAUAAAAUUUUUCAGAAAAGAUGAGAAAGUUUUUAAACUUGAAGGACACUAUUGAUCCUAGUGUUUAGGAGGCAAAAAAUAACUAAUUUUUAAAAAAGCUUAUCCCUUUUUAAAUUUUGGUACUAUUACCUUCAAAAAGAACCAGAUAUAAUAGAAUACGUAUGGAAUUUCAUCUCUAUUUAUACUUUAGAAAACUUUAUGAAACAAGCUUGAUAAGUAGAAAUAGGUCAUUUCAAUUUCGGGAACAUUUAUUAAAAAAGAGAAAUUGAUCUCCCCUGAUACUAAAGGUACAUUACUUUUCUGUUAAACAAAUAGAGAAUUUUCCCUCACGGUUAAAUAAAGGAUAGAAAAAAACAUUAAGAAUAAAAUACUUAUUUAAAUAGGAGUUCAAAGUAAAAUGAU
rnacentral:rRNA from 1 species